rnacentral:rRNA from 1 species
UACGGAGGGUGCAAGCGUUAUCCGGAUUCACUGGGUUUAAAGGGUGCGUAGGUGGGUUGGUAAGUCAGUGGUGAAAUCCCCGAGCUUAACUUGGGAACUGCCAUUGAUACUAUCAGUCUUGAAUACCGUGGAGGUCAGCGGAAUAUGUCAUGUAGCGGUGAAGUGCUUAGAUAUGACAUAGAACACCAAUUGCGAAGGCAGCUGGCUACACGAGUAUUGACACUGAGGCACGAAAGCGUGGGGAUCAAACAGG